UCCCUCAUAACUUCUGAAGGGGUAAGUGUUCACUCAGGCUGAUUGACACUGUGUGUCUGAAUUGAAGAAUGUGGCUAGAAAAGAAACAGGUUGUGCUUUCCUCACUGCAUAGUUAGUCGCAGUGGUGACAAUGAGACCUGUAACAGGU
ensembl:snoRNA